UACGUAGGGUCCGAGCGUUGUCCGGAAUUACUGGGCGUAAAGGGCUCGUAGGCGGCCAACUAAGUCAGACGUGAAAUCCCCUCGGCUUAACCGGGGAACUGCAUCUGAUACUGGAUGGCUUGAGUUCGGGAGAGGGAGUGCGGAAUUCCAGGUGUAGCGGUGAAAUGCGUAGAUAUCUGGAGGAACACCGGUGGCGAAGGCGGCAUCCUGGACCGACACUGACGCUGAGGAGCGAAAGCCAGGGGAGCAAAGCGGG
rnacentral:rRNA from 1 species